rnacentral:rRNA from 1 species
UACGAAGGGGGCUAGCGUUGCUCGGAAUCACUGGGCGUAAAGGGUGCGUAGGCGGGUCUUUAAGUCAGGGGUGAAAUCCUGGAGCUCAACUCCAGAACUGCCUUUGAUACUGAAGAUCUUGAGUUCGGGAGAGGUGAGUGGAACUGCGAGUGAGAGGUGAAAUUCGUAGAUAUUCGGCAAGAACACCAGUGGCGAAGGCGGCUCACUGGCCCGAUACUGACGCUGAGGCGAGA